GAUGAAGAACGUAGCAAAAUGCGAUAAGUAAUGUGAAUUGCAGAAUUCAGUGAAUCAUCGAAUCUUUGAACGCACAUUGCGCCCGCUGGUAUUCCGGCGGGCAUGCCUGUUCGAGCGUCAUUUCAACCCUCAAGCCCCCGGGUUUGGUGUUGGGGAUCGGCUCUGCCCUUCUGGGCGGUGCCGCCCCCGAAAUACAUUGGCGGUCUCGCUGCAGCCUCCAUUGCGUAGUAGCUAACACCUCGCAACUGGAACGCGGCGCGGCCAUGCCUUAAAACCCCAACUUCUGAAUGUUGACCUCGGAUCAGGUAGGAAUACCCGCUGAACUUAAGCAUAUCAAUAAGCGGAGGA
rnacentral:misc_RNA from 1 species